AGUUUGAUCCUGGCUCAGGACGAACGCUGGCGGCGUGCUUAACACAUGCAAGUCGAGCGGUAAGGCCUCUUCGGGGGUACACGAGCGGCGAACGGGUGAGUAACACGUGGGCGACCUGCCCUCAGCUCUGGGAUAAGCCUGGGAAACUGGGUCUAAUACCGGAUAUGACCUUGUGUUGCAUGACAUGGGGUGGAAAGUUUUUUCGGCUGGGGAUGGGCCCGCGGCCUAUCAGCUUGUUGGUGGGGUGAUGGCCUACCAAGGCGACGACGGGUAGCUGGCCUGAGAGGGCGACCGGCCACACUGGGACUGAGACACGGCCCAGACUCCUACGGGAGGCAGCAGUGGGGAAUUUUGGACAAUGGGCGCAAGCCUGAUCCAGCCAUUCCGCGUGCAGGAUGAAGGCCCUCGGGUUGUAAACUGCUUUUGUACGGAACGAAACGGCGCUUUCUAAUACAAGGCGCUAAUGACGGUACCGUAAGAAUAAGCACCGGCUAACUCCGUGCCAGCAGCCGCGGUA
rnacentral:rRNA from 1 species